rnacentral:rRNA from 1 species
AUUAGAUACCCUAUUAUUUUAAAUGUGAAUUUUAAAUGCUAAAUUAGUAUUAGUUAUGUUCUUGAAAAUUAAAAAAUUUGGCGGUAUUUUAGUCUUUUCAGAGGAACCUGCCCUGUAAUUGAUAGUCCACGAUUAGACGAACUUUAUUUAUUAGUUUACAUAUCGUCGUAGUUUGAAUAUUUUAAUAGAAAUUUAAAUAUUCAAAGUUUUAUAUAAAAAAAUAAAUCAGAUCAAGGUGUAGUUUAUAAUGAAGGAGAGGUGGGUUACAUUAAAUUUAUUUAAGGAUAAUUUUUUUUAAAAAAAUUUGAAUGUGGAUUUGAUAGUAAUUUAAUAUAUUUUUAUAAGAUGAUUAUAGCUCUAAAAUAUGCAC